UCUAAACCUCACAACAGUUGCCUACUGAUCUU
rnacentral:piRNA from 1 species